AUGGACGUAAUAGCUGUAGGUUGUCUUUUUGCGUAUCGCAAACUAAUGGCUGUCGAGGGUAAGGUGUUGAUUGGCAAACAAAGCAAGUUUGAUUGUACAGAACUUUGUGUGUCCACCUGUAAAAUCACCAAGGCUGGGAUCGGGGGCCCUCUUAUUGACACAGAUGGGAAUUUUGUUGGAAUGGACUUUUAUGAUGAGGAAGAAACUCCGUUCCUGCCGAGGGAUCUUAUUUGCCGCCUCUUGUUGAACAUAAAUAAAGGAUGGGCUAGUGCAGAUGAUACUAUUAUGGAGGGUGACAAAAACAGAUGGAUGUUGCCUGGCGGGACACACAGAAAUACUGAUGGAAACAGAUGGCCGUUGCCUAAGCCACGUCUUGUUGGUGUUAGAGAUGUCUGCCUGUACCCGAUGUUAUGUUCUAGUACUAGGGAUCAGACCAUCAGAUUCGGCAGUACAGCCUCAAGCGGGAUUGCUUCCUUAAAAAGUGUGACCCAUUAG
rnacentral:rRNA from 1 species